rnacentral:lncRNA from 1 species
UUUUAUUUUUUACUCAAUGUGACAGGAAGACCAUCGCACUACAGCGUAACCACCACCGCACUUCAGCGUAGAUAUCAACAAGUUAACGUCAUAAUGUCACCAUCGCACUUCAGCGUGUUAACCAUCGCACUUCAGCGUAUACCAUCGCACUUCAGCGUGACCAUCGCAGUUCGGAGUACCAUCGCGGUUCCGAGUCCUACAUACAUGUAUAUGUUAAUUAAGG